CCUACGGGAGGCUGCAGGGGGGAAUAUUGCGCAAUGGGCGAAAGCAUGACGCAGCGAAGCCGCGUGAGGGAUGAAGGUCUUCGGAUCGGAAACCUCUGUCAGCAGGGAAGAAGGGUCACUGUGCUAAUCAGCAGUGAAUUGACGGUACCUGCAAAGGAAGCACCGGUUAACGCCGUGCCAGCAGCCGCGGUAAUACGGAGGGUGCGAGCGUUAAUCGGAAUUACUGGGCGUAAAGCGCUCGUAGGCGGUAUGUCAAGUCAAGGGUGAAAUCCCCGCGCUCAACGUGGGAACUGCCUUUGAAACUGGCAAACUGGAGUGUGUGAGAGGAUAGUGGAAGUCCAGGUGUAGGAGUGAAAUCCGUAGAUAUCUGGAGGAACAUCAGUGGCGAAGGCGACUAUCUGGCACAUAACUGACGCUGAGGAGCGAAAGCGUGGGUAGCAAACAGGAUUAGAUACCCCUGUAGU
rnacentral:rRNA from 1 species